UACGGAGGGUGCAAGCGUUAUCCGGAUUCACUGGGUUUAAAGGGUGCGUAGGUGGGUUGAUAAGUCAGAGGUGAAAUCCCCGAGCUUAACUUGGGAACUGCCUUUGAUACUAUCAGACUUGAAUACCGUGGAGGUCGGAGAAAUUGUCAUGUAGCGGUGAAAUGCUUAGAUAUGAGAUAGAACACCAAUUGCGAAGGCAGCUGGUUACGCGGAUAUUGACACUGAGGCACGAAAGCGUGGGGAUCAAACAGGAUUAGAUACCCUGGUAGUCCACGCCCUAAACUAUGGAUACUCGACAUUUGCGAUAAACUGUAAGUGUCUGAGCGAAAGCAUUAAGUAUCCCACCUGGGAAGUACGAUCACAAGAUUGAAACUCAAAGGAAUUGGCGGGGGUCCGCACAAGCGGUGGAGCACGUGGUUUAAUUCGAUGAUACGCGAGGAACCUUACCUGGGCUAGAAUGCUGGGAGGCCGUGAGUGAAAGCUCAUUUUGUAGCAAUACACUUCCAGUAAGGUGCUGCAUGGCUGUCGUCAACUCGUGCCGUGAGGUGUUGGGUUAAGUCCUGCAACGAGCGCAACCCCCAUCACUAGUUGCCAUCAGGUAACGCUGGGAACUUUAGUGAAACUGCCGUCGUAAGACGUGAGGAAGGAGGGGAUGAUGUCAAGUCAUCAUGGCCUUUAUGCCCAGGGCUACCCCCGUGCUACAAUGGGGCGUACAAAGGGGUGCAACAUAGCAAUAUGAAGCUAAUCCCAAAAAACGCCUUUCAGUUCAGAUUGGAGUUUGCAACUUGGCUUCAUGAAGCUGGAAUCGCUAGUAAUCGUAUAUCAGCAAUGAUACGGUGAAUACGUUCCCGGACCU
rnacentral:rRNA from 1 species